rnacentral:misc_RNA from 1 species
GUAGGUGAACCUGCGGAAGGAUCAUUACCGAGCGAGGGUCCCCCGGGGCCCGAACCUCCCACCCUUUGUGAACCAUACCUCUGUUGCUUUGGCGGGCCCGCGGGGUCCCCCCGCCGCCGGCCUCGGCUGGCGAGCGCCCGUCAGAGUCCACCCCAACCCUGUGAACCGUGACGUCUGAGUACCAAUUUAAUAGCACAAAACUUUCAACAACGGAUCUCUUGGUUCUG